rnacentral:rRNA from 1 species
ACAGAAGAAAGCACCGGCUAACUCCGUGCCAGCAGCGCGGUAAUACGGAGGGUGCGAGCGUUAAUCGGAAUUACUGGGCGUAAAGACGCAUGCAGGUGGUUUGUUAAGUUCAGAUGUGAAAGACCCGGGGCGUCAACCUCGGAAUAGCAUUUGUAAACUAGGCAGACUAGAGUACUGUAGAGGGGGGUAGGAAUUUCAGGUGUAGCGGUGAAAUGCGUAGAGAUCUGAAGGAAUACCGGUGGCGAAGGCGGCCCCCUCGGACAGAUACUGACACUCAGAUGCGAAAGCGUGGGGAGCAAACAGGAUUAGAUACCCUGGUAG